CUAUCAUUAUGAAGGACCUCUGCACAUCACCUGCUUUGGGUUCAUCAGAGAUCAUCUCAAAGAUUCUGCACAAUAAAACACACCAGGAUGUUUCCGAUCAUGCAGAGCAAGAAGAUGAGACCGUACGCCAGAAUAAAGAUGGUGGCCACCGCAAGAGAAUGUUGAUAAUACGGGGUUGACGUCCAUCGUUGAGAGAGCUGCCGAGACAAAAAAGAGAUUGCAAACUUUGCAUCAUAUGUAAUGCAUGGAGACCUGACAGAUGAUCUGGAAGAGGUGUUGGAACAAACUCAAUAUCUUCUGAGGUUUCCUUAUUAUUUUUUAAACACUUUGCAUUUUCUGAUGGAUGAGAUUUCAGUUCUAAUACCAUCAGCUUCACCUGUACAAUUCUCAGUCCCAUCACUAUUCAAGAGGCUUGAGGUAAAGCUGAUAAUAACCUGGUUUUGGAUGUUAGACAAUCUGUUUUAUUUUGUUGAUUCAUUAUCUAUUCUCAAACUUUUUAAAACCAUAUAAAUUGAAAAAUAAAAAGCGCUGCAGGUCUGGACAGGAGUUCAGAAUAUAAAAUAAUCUUUUCAUUUCUAUUCUUCACCUUUAGAUUGUUGGAGACUGGAUGUGAACUUAUAAAUAAUUUGCACAGAAUGCAUUAGAAUCACUCGCUUACACAAAAGCCACUUAAAUCAGUGUAUGCUCUUAUAUUAUUUUUGCUAUUGUGUUUCUGCAUAUUUGUUUUAAUGGUGACAUCAAUUUAUGGUUGAAUUAUAAAACACAUCAUCAGGUCUGUUAAACAUGUUUCUAUGAUUCUAUAAAUAUGAAUCCACAACCAAACAAAUAUAUCUUCAAAAGUGAGUCUGAAUCUGUCCGAGUUAAGCAGAAUUUCUUUGUACCUUCUCACAUUUUACCUUAUAAUGAUUUUCAAUACAAGAACAUCACAUGCAGGAAAAACCAUCCCAUCAGACCCAAUUUACUUUGUUUAUUUAUUUGAAAAAAAUCAGAAUAAAGCCACAUGUGGUUCAUAUAAUAUCAUCUUCUGCAAGCUCCCUUGAUUUGAAUCAGCAGGGGAAAAUACCUUUCUUUCUUUCUUUCUUUCUUUCUUUUGCAAUGUAUUUUUGGUGUGCUCAUCAUUCAACAAUAAAUGAUGUGUACUUUACAAAUCCAUUAGUCACACAGCAGGAUUGCUUAAGGGUCAGCUUCAAAUAAACAUGAUAAAAUGUACACAAAGAAACUCGUUUGAAAAUAUAAAACAUAAACUUUCAUAUACAUUUUCAGGAUUCUCUAAUAUCAAUAUUAAUAUCUACAAUAGGGCUGUAUCAGCAACAAGUUCACAAUAGGAUGCGCAUCAGGACAAUUUUAAAUGACAUUUUUGUUCAGAAUAACAUUAUUAUCUGUUUGUUGUACAUUGAUUAACAG